rnacentral:lncRNA from 1 species
UCCAGAUCAGCCCUAUCCAAACCCACCUACCUAUUUAAGCAGUCAAACCCUAAAAUCUAGGAUCCUUGUCCCAUCCAUUCCCUCCCCAAUUCCCGUAGCGCCGCCGCCACCAUCUCCCUCGGGAUCUCCUCCCGACCAACCCCCCUUCCUCCUCGUUGUGCGUUCGCACCCAACAGAGCGCUCGUGUGCAGCCGCCGCUUCCCCGCAGGCGUCCGCGCGCAGUAGCAGCACCCAGCCUCCAGGUCGGCCAUGUCCCUCUCCGUCCCCCCUCCCUGUGUUCCUCUGCUCCCUUCCCUCCUAGUCGCUGUGUCUCAUUCCUCUCCCCCUGUUGCACUGCAGCAACAUCUUCGAAGGAGCACCGCCAGCAGCGUACGGACGCAGCAACGGCCCCAUCUACGCGCACCUCGCCGCUAGUGUCGGUUGGGCACCGGCACCCCUUCUGCCAGCUGCGCCUAUCGGUGACCCCGACCUCGUCCAAGCAGCGUGCAGCGCUAGCAGGGGAUCGACCCCGGGCUUCCCGAGAUCCUCUGCUCGCGAGGCAGGCUCCACCUCAGGUGCCUCCCUGCAGCCGCGCCAUGGGCAUCGGCCACCUCCCAGGUCGGCACGUCGGAGCCUCUCCUUCCCCUACCCUCUCUGCUUUUCUCUUCUCCCAUCUCUGCUAAGCUCUCUCUUCUCUCGUUGACCAGGGCAGAGGAACCCGUCGCCGCCUUGAUGGAGGUCGCCGUCCGCGCCUCCCCAAGAUCCCUCGUCGUCGGGAAUGGGUGGCCCGAGCCCGGAUCUGCCCAUCCCGAGCCUUUCCCGUUCGUUUCUCAAGCCGUCACGCGCUGCCGGCUGAGUCAACUUGCUGUUGACCGCGCCCUGUGCUCCCUCUCGUGCUGCAGGAGCUCCAACCAGGGCCCGAUGCUCAAGCUGCACCACGCCGCCACCGACUGACUCCGGGAAUGGUUGGACCCGUGCUCUCCUCACCCGUUCAGCCGAUGCGUCGAUGAACCAACCAGCUGCAGCAGCAGGUCCCUAUGCCUCACUCUUCUUCUUCCUCCCCUGCUCUCCCCCUCUUUCUGAAUUUUUUCUCUGAACUUGUCUGAAUCAGCACCUGCAGGAGCCCCAUGGCUGCCGUCUCGUCGCCGUGAACCUCACCGUCGGAGCCCUUCCAGCCGGAUCCGCACCCGACCGUACCCCCCUAUCCAUUCCCGGCCUCCGAGUCCGCCAUCUUCGCCGAAGCAUCGCGCCGUCGACCUCUGCAUCCCCAUUGUGAGCAGUCCUCCCGAUCUGAAUUCAGUCUCCUCUAGAUCCGUUCUGGCAAGGACAUGUUGUCUAUAGUGGGCACUGGUCCUGUCAACGAGUUGUAGGCUAGCUGAGUUGGCUAGCGCAGCCAACUGCUGUGAUGGAGGUCCCCGGUUCGACUCCCGUGCGCCCCAGAUUUUAUGUUUCAUUUUCUUUUGUGGUGCACCAGCUCAUAUUUGUUCCCGUCUUGGCUAGUUGAUAUACAUUCGAAUUCCUUUCAUGCUAGUAACAGAGUUUAGUGCAGUGGCUAGCAACCUUAUUUUCAAAUGAGAGGUCCAGGGAUCAUAUCCCCAUCAGUGCAUAUUAUUUUUUUUAGGAAUUUUGCCUCCAGCGCACCAGCUUCUGUCAUACUUGUGGAUGUGCUGUUUUGUCAAUUUUGAAACAACCACUUAAUUAGUCUGGUG